UAGAAGGCUCAAUAGCCAUAGGAGUACUCCAUCAAUAAUCGGCCGAGAAGCCUUAUGACCACUCACUUAAGUACCAUGAAAAAAAGGCAAAAAAACUCAUAAAAACUAAAGAGAGAACCUGGUUUGAGAUUGGAAAUCCAUAUGCACUGCCAGAUCAGGGGCUGAUAGAAAGAAAAAAGGUUACGGAGAAGAAAACUCAUCGCAACCGCUACAUGAAGAAUUUGUUUAGGUUCAGGGAUGCUCCCAAUACAAAGACACUACCAGCUGGAGGAAAGGUGUGCUUUCCAAUGAUUACAUGUGUAUACGGAGUUCGCGCACUACGAGCUACCGUCGCCUCUCUCGCUAGGUUGAAAAACCAAAUGAAAAUAAAAAUCGGCCAUUCUUCCUUGCAAACAAACAACCACAACAAUAGAAACAAAGAAAGAAAAAGGAGAACAACUUGCAAAUCAAGAAAAUCCCUCUCCGAUAAGAGUAGAUCUACAACAAAACAACCAAAUCUUUAUUUAUUCACACACCCUUGUCUAAAGGAGGGAAGAGAAUAAACCCACUCUUUGGACAUGAGAGAAAUGAUAACCGUUCCAUGCCCAAAUAGGGUAGAGGACAAUCACAUCUAUUAAUUGCAGAAGAAGCAGUAAAAAAUAAAGAAAAACUUGAGAGCUUCUCUCUC
rnacentral:lncRNA from 1 species